rnacentral:rRNA from 1 species
UACGUAGGGGGCAAGCGUUGUCCGGAUUUAUUGGGCGUAAAGAGCGUGUAGGCGGCCAGAUAGGUCCGUUGUGAAAACUCGAGGCUCAACCUCGAGACGCCGAUGGAAACCAUUUGGCUAGAGUCCGGAAGAGGAGAGUGGAAUUCCUGGUGUAGCGGUGAAAUGCGCAGAUAUCGGGAGGAACCCCAGAGGCGAAGGCGGCGUCCUGGCUCACAACUGACGCUCAUACACGACAGCAUGGGGAGCGAACGGG